rnacentral:rRNA from 1 species
GUCCACGCCGUAAACGAUAAUCACUAGAUGUUAGUCCGGCUUAGCUGGAUUGGUGUCGUAGCUAACGCGUUAAGUGAUUAGCCUGGGGAGUACGGUCGCAAGGCUAAAACUUAAAGAAUUGACGGGGGUCCGCACAAGCGGUGGAACAUGUGGUUUAAUUCGACACUACGCGAGAACCUUACCUGGACUUGACAUGUAUUUGACAGUUGUAGAAAUAUGAUCUCUUGGGCUUCGGUUCAAGCAGAUACACAGGUGCUGCAUGGCUGUCGU